UUGUCUUGUAAGUCGUAAAAUGUUGCACUGUCGCAAACGUGACAGAAGUAACAAUGAGAGCGCCACUGCCGCCUACUGUAGUAAAUGCGCAAUUACACUUUAUUCUAGUACUGCCAAAAAAAAAAAAAAAUUAAAAAAAAAAAAUGCCUGUUCCCCAGGGUCACACGCGCCCCCCCAGGUAUUGCACCGCGCCCCCCAAGGGGGGCGCGCCCCACUAUUUGAGAAGCACUGCACAAGACGAAGAUUUCGAUGGAUUUAAUGAUUUGGAGUGACACAGAUGGUUCGAUAAACUAUGUUAUAGUUACUUGAUAUAUAGUUUAUUUAGUGUAGCAACUUGUAUAUUGUUAGAGUUCAGUAGUUUCCGAUUGCUUAAGGAGGCCGUGAAGGCAGCAGGGGGGAGGAGACUGGAAGAGCGAUCCGGGGCGCUUUGUGAGAGUGAGGCUACACACACUGUGCUCGUAUGUUGUUGAACUCUUGUUUUGUGAAAUAAAGAGCCGGUUGCUUUCCUUUUUUUUUUAAUUCAUUUAUUUUUUAGUCAUUGUCUCUUGCUAGUAGUGGGGGGGAGGGGAUGAACAAAUGAAACUGUACAUUUGCAUGCUGCAUGAUUUCAGAGUUCAGCUGUGAAAAGCAAGAUCACCUCGGCCUGUCGGUCUGAAGGCAGAACACACAUUAGGACAGGACAGGCAAGGACUGGGGGAGUAGAACUGACAUUGACUCCCCCCCCACCCCCCAAAAAAAAAAAACGCCAUUCAAACUUGGCCACCCACCUCCAUUGAACACAGAAAUGUUGUGCAAAUUCACCACAAUCA